rnacentral:rRNA from 1 species
AGAACGAACGCUGGCGGCAUGCCUAACACAUGCAAGUCGAACGAGACCUUCGGGUCUAGUGGCGCACGGGUGCGUAACGCGUGGGAAUCUGCCCUUGGGUUCGGGAUAACAGUUGGAAACGACUGCUAAUACCGGAUGAUGACUUCGGUCCAAAGAUUUAUCGCCCAGGGAUGAGCCCGCGUAAGAUUAGCUAGUUGGUGGGGUAAAGGCCUACCAAGGCAACGAUCUUUAGCUGGUCUGAGAGGAUGAUCAGCCACACGUGGGACUGAGACACGGCCCAGACCUCCGUACGGGAGGCAGCAGUGGGGAAUAUUGGACAAGUGGGACGAAAGCCUGA